UAUAAACAUACUUAAUAAUAAAAUUAUAAACUUGGACCGAUACAAAGAAGAUUAGUAUCGUGCAUGCGCAAGGAUGACACCCACAAAUCGAGAUAUGGUCCAAAUUUUU
rnacentral:snRNA from 1 species